ACGAGAGGAUUGAUUAAGCCCAGUUCAAGGCCAGCUUGAGCAGCAUAGUGAGACCUCCUGGAGCAAAAAAGAAAAAAAAAUAGGGUUGGCAUUUGUUGUUUUUAGCACCCUGGUGCCCAAGAAAAAUCUGGACACUGGGACAGAGGCAGGUCAUCAAGAACAGAAUGGAGGCUUGGAUGACUUUUCCCAGGGCAUAGUGACAGAGCCUUGGGACUGAGGGUGCUUCCCCAGGCUGCACCCCUUGACUGGGCUUGUGGCAUUGGAGAGACAGAGAGGAGUGUGUGGGUGGGGAGGGGGUACACAAGUCUUUCUCUCUUAGCCUAAGAGCUGGCCUGGGAAUACCUUCCUCUGGCACAGACCCAACAUCAAUGAUCCCAGAAGUGAUCUGUCUGCUAAGCUGACUAUCACCGGGGUGAUGUGAAAAUGAAGGAUGAUGUACCUGGCAAAGCCCUUGAUUUGAAUCCCUUGCUGGGACCAGACCAAAAAAGGUGUUCAUCAUUUUACAAAGCAGGGAAUGGUGGCACAGACAGGUGAAGUAAUUUGCCUGAGUCAUUAAGAGGUUGGUUUUCUCCAAGAAGUCAUCUUUCAAGAUUUUGUCUACGGCCAUACCACCCUGAACGCGCCCAAUCUCGUCUCAUCUUUCAAGAUUUUGAAAUAAUAGCCUGGAUGACCACUGCUGUUUUGGAGGCCAAUUAAUUAUAUUCUCUUAUUGGAGGAGCCCUGUGUUCUCCCCUCAGAGCAUGAUCCCCACUGUCCCUGGUCUCUCUGCUGUCCAGGUACUGUCCUCUCUGCUCUUUCUUGCCACUCUGGCACUGCAUGGUCUCAGUCCCUCUCCAUUCUCCAGGCUCUCCUCUUGCCUCUCUGUUAGCUGUUCUUCCUCUGCCCACUUGCUCUAAGGGCAGGUGUUCCCCAAGGCUUCUCCCUGACACUCUUUCUCCUUCUACCCCCUCUCUCUGGGACAUUCUCUCAUACUUGUUAUGACCAGCUCAGACCUCUCCAGGAGACAACCACCUAGGCCCUGAUGAUUGUUGCUAGUUAGUCCCUCCCUGAGAAUGUAGCUUCUGCUCUCAGACAUUCACUAGCUCCCCAAGGUCAACAAAAGGGGAACAAACUUCUCCCCAAGGUAUUCAGGGCUCUGGUAUACCUGCCUUCAUUUUCCUCCCAAUUCAGAAUCUUCCUCUAUCUGAGCCCUGUGCUCUUUGCCUUUAUUCUGCUGUCCCUUCAAUAUGGCUUCCCUCCCUGCGACCUUUGCUCAAGGUACUUCUACCUUACUGGUCUAUAACGUACAUGCUCCUCCUCCAAGAAGUCCUUCCUGACACCCUUCCCUACCUAGUGUGCCUUCUCUUUCUUUGGGGGACUCCAUGGAAAACCAUGCCAGCAUUCCUUGGGUGACACCUACUUCUGUGCUUGCUUUGAUUCUAUCACCCUGAGUCAGAAAGGAAGCCUAGCACUGGGAGUCAGGCAACAAGGCUCAUUCUAUGCUGUUUAGUGUUACCUAUUCAUCUAAGAGUUCCCCAGUGUAAAAAUGAAGUGAUAGGACCGCAUCAGCAUUUCUCAAAUUUCAUUUGAGUACCACCAUGCUUGCUUUUAUUCUUGAACCACAAGUAUCAUAUGCUUAUUUAUCUUUUUAAAAUCUAAAUUAAAAGUAUACUUUAUAUUGUUUACUGUGACUGCAAAACAAAGGUCAUAUGUAAUAAAGGUUACAGUAAAAAAAAACUAAGGUAACCACGAAAAUAAACACAUAACGGAUAAAUUUUUGUAUAAUGUCUCAAAUCCUAUGUAGAAUUCUGGGAAACAAUCUAGAUCACCAAAGUCUUUGUCAGAGAUAAACAAAAGUGGACACUAGUCGAAAUGGUAAGGACCAAUUUUCAUCAGUAAUUAGGGAAGAGAGUUCAGCUUGAACUGAGCUCAACUUCUAUUUGCACAAAAGCCACUGGGUCUUUUACAGGGAGGAUGAGAGAGCUGGGAGAGAGACAAGCAGGGGUUCAGCAGAGUCAGGAAAACGAAAAAUUACAAGCCUAGGUUAGUGUAAUUAAU